rnacentral:piRNA from 1 species
UCNCCAAACAUGGUAGUAGGUGACUUUGU